GACGUAGGGGGCCAGCGUUGUUCGGAAUUACUGGGUGUAAAGGGUUCGUAGGCGGUGCGGCAAGUUGGGAGUGAAAUCUCUGGGCUUAACCCAGAGGCUGCUUCCAAAACUGCUGUGCAUGAGUGUGGGAGAGGCGCGUGGAAUUGCAGGUGUAGCGGUGAAAUGCGUAGAUAUCUGCAGGAACACCCGUGGCGAAAGCGGCGCGCUGGACCACUACUGACGCUGAGGCACGAAAGCUAGGGUAGCGAACGGG
rnacentral:rRNA from 1 species